GCCCUCGUAGCUCAACUGGCAGAGCAGCAGACUCUUAAUCUGUGUGUUGUAGGUUCGAUUCCUACCGGGGGCA
rnacentral:tRNA from 1 species